rnacentral:lncRNA from 1 species
GGCGUUCCGAUGGCAGUAGAACACUUUAGCCGUAUACGUCUUUCUAUUACCACAUACAUACCUCUUCAAGUAUCGACUAAAAAUGAGGAAAGAGACGGAAAACUUACUCAAAUUUGAAAGAGAACAAAAGUUAAAUGAAACAAAUAAAGAAACAUAGAAUCCUUAAUGAAUAAAAAAAUUAGAAAUUACCACUUCGGCAUAUGUCAUGUCUGUUACGUCCAACCUUAUAAUGAAUUCUGGCCCAUGUUCAUUAGGGUUGAGACGUAUUGGUCUGAACCUUGUCAUUUUCUUCGACGGUGGGGGAAGUUCAAUAGGGUUUGCAUUGAUAUUCUGUGGUGUAUUAUGGAGAUGAGUGGUAAGAUAUUUUCAGCUUUCCUUCAAAUAAAUAACUAAAGUAAAAGUUUUAUCUUAUUGAAACGGUUUUUGAAUUCCCCAAAAUACAUUUGGG